ensembl:lncRNA
AUGAGUGGAGCCCUUCACAACAACAAGCCAAGCAACACGGCAAUGAACCUGAUUGCGAGGGAGUGCACAGAGAUGGGUGGGGGUAACUUCAUAGCUGGCGUCUUCAUCCAGGCAAAGAACAAGAAGCUGAGCAUCUAUGAUGCCAUGAUCAGGGGGCUCCUGACGCCGGGCACAGCCCUGGUGCUGCUGGAGGCACAGGCUGCGUCGGGGUUCCUCACUGACCCCAUAAGCAACACGAAGUUGUCAGUGAAAGAGGCGCUGAGCGCGGGGCUCAUCGGCAGAGAUUUCUAUGAGAAGCUGCUGUCAGCAGAGGGAGCCGUGACCGGGUACACGGAGCCGUACACAGGACACAAGAUCUCCCUCUUCCAGGCCAUGAAGAAGGAGUUCAUCGUGAAGGAACACGCCAUCCGCCUGCUGGAGGCACAGAUCGCCACCGGCGGCAUCAUCGACCCCACUGACAGCAACCGUGUCCCUGUGGAGGUGGCCCACCAGCGGGGCUACUUUGACCAGGAGAUGUGCCAGUUCCUCCUGAACCCGAAGAACCAAACCAGAAGUUGUUUUGACCCCAACACGCAUGAGAACCUCACCUACACGCAGCUCCUGCGCCGCUGCGUGCCCGACCCCGACACGGGGCUGCUCAUGCUGCACGUGAUGGACAAGGGCUCGGUGCUCUUCCAGCUCAACAAGGAUGCCCGCAAAGCCCUGCAGGCCGCCCGCACCAGCAUCAGCGUGGGGCUCUUCCAGGGCCAGAACGUCACCGUCUGGGAGCUCCUCUUCUCUCGCUACGUCUCUGAUCACCAAAGAGAGGAGCUGCUGAGGAAAUACAAAGUGGGAGCAGUGACCAUCCCGGAGAUGAUCAUCGUUCUCACCACCAUCAUCACCGGGGUGGAGACAGGAAACAGAGACCUGAGCUCAUCCACAGCAAUUGCCGGUGGUGAGGUAGGAGAGUCACAGCCGGUGCAGGAUACGCGCUCCCAGGAGCAGCAGUUGAGAAAGUCUUUAAAGUCUGCAACCAUCUACGUCACUGCUGGUGAGUUCCGGGGGCAAAACGUCUCCGUGUUGGAUCUGCUCUUUUCCACAUACAUCCCGCAGGAGAAGCGGCAGGAGCUGCUGGAGCUGUACAGGGCAGGGAUACUGAGCACAGAACAGGUGGCUGCAGCUGUCAGCAAUGUCAUAAACAAAACAGAAGCUGCAGAUAUCACGGCCACAGCAAAUGCUGGGUAUCCACAAAGGGCGGUGUCAGGGGCAGAGGAAAAUGGAGAUGGUCACUCAGCACAAGAUGAUGUCUUGAAGUCUACCACCAUUGACAUCCCAGCUGGUGAGUUCUCUGUGUGGGACCUGCUCUUCUCUGACUACAUCCCUGAGGACAAAAGGCAGGAGCUCCUGGAGCUGUACCGUGACGGGACACUGCCCUUGGAGCGGUUAAUAACUGUUGUCACCACACUCAUUAAGAAAAAGGAAUCUACAGGCAGGAAAUUCCAAAUCACAGUGAAGCACUCCAACAAGAACACUGCGCCAGCGGACAGAGAGAAGGAUGAUGAGUCCUCCAAGGAAGAACCAUGGGAAACAGCCUUGAAAAGCACAGUUGUCCACAUGGAGGUUGGAGAGUUUCGGGGCCGCAAGGUCUCUGUGUGGGACCUGCUCCACUCUAAGUACAUCCCUGCGGAGAACAGGAAGGAGCUGCUCGAGCUGUACCAGGCAGGAGAGUUAACCCUUGAGCAGGUGAAAACUGUUGUCAGCACCAUUGUGGCCAAGACUGAAGCAGCAAAGGCAGAGCAGUCAGCACAUGUGAGUGGUCCAAGGGCAGAGAUGGCCACCACAGAAGCGGAGCACACCCAGCCCCUGCAGGAGGUUGGGACCUGGGAGGAAACCUUGAAGUCCACCACAGUUGAGAUGGCAGAGGAUGAGCUUGAGGGGAGACGAGUCUCCGUGUGGGACCUGAUCUCCUCUGACUACAUCCCUGAGGACAAAAGGCAGGAGCUCCUGGAGCUCUACCGUGACGGGACACUGCCCUUGGAGCGGUUAAUAACUGUUGUCACCACACUCAUUAAGAAAAAGGAAUCUACAGGCAGGAAAUUCCAAAUCACAGUGAAGCACUCCAACAAGAACACUGCGCCAGCGGACAGAGAGAAGGAUGAUGAGUCCUCCAAGGAGGAACCAUGGGAAACAGCCUUGAAAACCACAGUUGUCCACAUGGAGGUCGGAGAGUUUCGGGGCCGCAAGGUCUCUGUGUGGGACCUGCUCCACUCCAAGUACAUCCCUGCAGAGAACAGGAAGGAGCUGCUCGAGCUGUACCAGGCAGGAGAGUUAACCCUUGAGCAGGUGAAAACUGUUGUCAGCACCAUUGUGGCCAAGACUGAAGCAGCAAAGGCAGAGCAGUCAGCACAUGUGUGUGGUGCAAGGGCAAUGGCUGCCGCAGAAGCAGAGCACAGCCAGCCCCUGCAGGAGGUUGGGACCUGGGAGGAAACCUUGAAGUCCACCACAGCUGAGGAGGUAAUGGAUGAGUUUGAGGGGAGACGAGUCUCUGUGUGGGAUCUGCUCACCUCCAACUGCCUCAAUGAGGACAAAAGGCAGGAGCUCCUGGAGCUGUACCGCGACGGGACGCUCUCCACUGAGGAACUCAUCAGGGCUAUCAGCAGCACCAUGAUGCACAGCAAAGACAGACAUCUCGCAGCCCUUCCCCAGCAGACAGUGGAUCUCCUCCAGUCUGAAGGCUCUUACAUUACCUGUGGGCAGUUCCAGGAGCAGAGGGUGUCGGUGUGGGAGCUCCUGUCCACCAAGCAGGUCUCCGAGUACAAACGAGAAGCGUGUCUCGACAUUUACGGGACGGGAGGGCUGACUGUGAACAAGAUCACCAUCACCACCACUGUUGUCACAGGCACACAGGGAAAGAAGAGACAGCACCAGGACCACUAG